GACGAACGCUGGCGGCGUGCUUAACACAUGCAAGUCGAACGGAAAGGCCUGCUUUCCCUUGUGGAUUGCGGGUACUCGAGUGGCGAACGGGUGAGUAACACGUGAGUGAUCUGCCCCCAACUUGGGUAUAAGCCUGGGAAACUGGGUCUAAUUCCCGAUAGGACUGCAGGGUGGUGCCUGUGGUGGAAAACGAUUUUCUAGUGGUUGGGGAUGAGCUCGCGGCCUAUCAGCUUGUUGAUGGGGUAAUGGCCUACCAAGGCGGCGACGGGUAGCCGGCCUGAGAGGGUGGACGGCCACAUUGGGGCUGAGAUACGGCCCAGACUCCUACGGGAGGCAGCAGUGGGGAAUAUUGCACAAUGGGCGGAAGCCUGAUGCAGCGACGCCGCGUGGGGGAUGACGGCCUUCGGGUUGUAAACUCCUUUCGACCGCGAGGAAGCCACCUGGUUGGAAGGGUGGUGACGGUAGUGGUAGAAAAAGCACCGGCUAACUACGUG
rnacentral:rRNA from 1 species